rnacentral:snoRNA from 1 species
AUCGUGCGGCACCGUUUAUAAUCCGUGUUGCUCAUAAGCCUCUUAACACCAUAGGCUGGUUAAUAAACCGUAGUUUAAGAGCGUCAACAUAAGCGUAGACGAAAAGAACACCUUAGCACCCUUUCGUGGCAUCAUAUUAUUUCAAUGGGAUGAGGGUCGGGAGCUCAUACAUCG